GACGAACGCUGGCGGCGUGCUUAACACAUGCAAGUCGAACGGAAAGGCCCUGCUUUUGUGGGGUGCUCGAGUGGCGAACGGGUGAGUAACACGUGAGUAACCUGCCCUUGACUUUGGGAUAACUUCAGGAAACUGGGGCUAAUACCGGAUAGGAGCUCCUGCUGCAUGGUGGGGGUUGGAAAUUUUCGGCGGUUGGGGAUGGACUCGCGGCUUAUCAGCUUGUUGGUGGGGUAGUGGCUUACCAAGGCUUUGGAGGGUCGCCGGCCUGAGAGGGUGACCGGCCACAUGGGGACUGAGAUACGGCCCAGACUCCUACGGGAGGCAGCAGUGGGGAAUAUUGCACAAUGGGCGGAAGCCUGAUGCAGAAACGCCGCGUGCGGGAUGACGGCCUUCGGGUUGUAAACCGCUUUCACCUGUGACGAAGCGUGAGUGACGGUAAUGGGUAAAGAAGCACCGGCUAACUACGUG
rnacentral:rRNA from 1 species